GACGAACGCUGGCGGCGUGCUUAACACAUGCAAGUCGAACGGAAAGGCCCUGCUUUUGUGGGGUGCUCGAGUGGCGAACGGGUGAGUAACACGUGAGUAACCUGCCCUUGACUUUGGGAUAACUUCAGGAAACUGGGGCUAAUACCGGAUAGGAGCUCCUGCUGCAUGGUGGGGGUUGGAAAGUUUCGGCGGUUGGGGAUGGACUCGCGGCUUAUCAGCUUGUUGGUGGGGUAGUGGCUUACCAAGGCUUUGACGGGUAGCCGGCCUGAGAGGGUGUCCGGCCACAUUGGGACUGAGAUACGGCCCAGACUCCUACGGGAGGCAGCAGUGGGGAAUAUUGCACAAUGGGCGGAAGCCUGAUGCAGCAACGCCGCGUGCGGGAUGACGGCCUUCGGGUUGUAAACCGCUUUCGCCUGUGACGAAGCGUGAGUGACGGUAAUGGGUAAAGAAGCACCGGCUAACUACGUGCCAGCAGCCGCGGUGAUACGUAGGGUGCGAGCGUUGUCCGGAUUUAUUGGGCGUAAAGGGCUCGUAGGUGGUUGAUCGCGUCGGAAGUGUAAUCUUGGGGCUUAACCCUGAGCGUGCUUUCGAUACGGGUUGACUUGAGGAAGGUAGGGGAGAAUGGAAUUCCUGGUGGAGCGGUGGAAUGCGCAGAUAUCAGGAGGAACACCAGUGGCGAAGGCGGUUCUCUGGGCCUUUCCUGACGCUGAGGAGCGAAAGCGUGGGGAGCGAACAGGCUUAGAUACCCUGGUAGUCCACGCUGUAAACGGUGGGUACUAGGUGUGGGGUCCAUUCCACGGGUUCCGUGCCGUAGCUAACGCUUUAAGUACCCCGCCUGGGGAGUACGGCCGCAAGGCUAAAACUCAAAGGAAUUGACGGGGCCCCGCACAAGCGGCGGAGCAUGCGGAUUAAUUCGAUGCAACGCGUAGAACCUUACCUGGGUUUGACAUGGAUCGGGAGCGCUCAGAGAUGGGUGUGCCUCUUUUGGGGUCGGUUCACAGGUGGUGCAUGGCUGUCGUCAGCUCGUGUCGUGAGAUGUUGGGUUAAGUCCCGCAACGAGCGCAACCCUUGUUCACUGUUGCCAGCACGUUAUGGUGGGGACUCAGUGGAGACCGCCGGGGUCAACUCGGAGGAAGGUGGGGAUGACGUCAAGUCAUCAUGCCCCUUAUGUCCAGGGCUUCACGCAUGCUACAAUGGCUGGUACAGAGAGUGGCGAGCCUGUGAGGGUGAGCGAAUCUCGGAAAGCCGGUCUCAGUUCGGAUUGGGGUCUGCAACUCGACCUCAUGAAGUCGGAGUCGCUAGUAAUCGCAGAUCAGCAACGCUGCGGUGAAUACGUUCCCGGG
rnacentral:rRNA from 1 species